GAGGUGGUCUCUCCCUGUGGGUGUGUGUGAGGUGGUCUCUCCCUGUGGGUGUGUGUGAGAGUGUGUGAGGUGGUCUCUCCCUGUGGGUGUGUGAGAGUGUGUGAGGUGGUCUCUCCCUGUGGGUGUGUGUGAGAGUGUGUGAGGUGGUCUCUCCCUGUGGGUGUGUGUGAGAGUGUGUGAGGUGUUUGAUGCCCUGAUGUUUUGAUUGGCAGGCGGUUUGUUUGCAUUGUAUGUGCACCGGCUCGGUUCUCACACGUCUAUCACUCUUCCUCAGAAUCACCUGCAGGUCGUGACUCACUUCCUGUUUAACCCCAAGGGCCCCUUCCUUUUAAGGGCAGGGAGUGACAUCAGUGUGUUGCUACACUUCACUACGUCAUCAUCAGCUCUCCGACAAGGGGCUAGUGCCACAACCCUGCUUUCACUCACACACACAUUACAGGGGGCUACUGCCACAUCCCUCUGCUUUUACUCACACACACAUUAGAGGGGCUACUGCCACAUCCCUCUGCUUUCACUCACACUCACAUUACAGGGGGCUACUGCCACAUCGCUCUGCUUUCACUCACACUCACAUUACAGGGGCUACUGCCACAUCCCUCUGCUUUCAAUCACACACACAUUAGAGGGGCUACUGCCACAUCCCUCUGCUUUUAAUCACACACACAUUAGAGGGGCUACUGCCACAUCCCUCUGCUUUUAAUCACACACACAUUACAGGGGCUACUGCCACAUCCCUCUGCUUUUAAUCACACACAUUACAGGGGCUACUGCCACAUCCCUCUGCUUUCAAUCACACUCACAUUACAGGGGCUACUGCCACAUCCCUCUGCUUUUAAUCACACACACAUUAGAGGGGCUACUGCCACAUCCCUCUGCUUUUAAUCACACACAUUACAGGGGCUACUGCCACAUCCUUCUGCUUUUGUAUUAUUAGAAAGUCAGACUUCCUAAAACUGCCUUUAUAUAUAAAAAUAAAGCAAUGGUGCUGUCCUAAA